rnacentral:rRNA from 1 species
GGGUUGUGAGGUUAAGCGACUAAGCGUACACGGUGGAUGCCCUGGCAGUCAGAGGCGAUGAAGGACGUGCUAAUCUGCGAUAAGCGUCGGUAAGGUGAUAUGAACCGUUAUAACCGGCGAUUUCCGAAUGGGGAAACCCAGUGUGUUUCGACACACUAUCAUUAACUGAAUCCAUAGGUUAAUGAGGCGAACCGGGGGAACUGAAACAUCUAAGUACCCCGAGGAAAAGAAAUCAACCGAGAUUCCCCCAGUAGCGGCGAGCGAACGGGGAGCAGCCCAGAGCCUGAAUCAGUGUGUGUGUUAGUGGAAGCGUCUGGAAAGGCGUGCGAUACAGGGUGACAGCCCCGUACACAAAAAUGCACAUGCUGUGAGCUCGAUGAGUAGGGCGGGACACGUGGUAUCCUGUCUGAAUAUGGGGGGACCAUCCUCCAAGGCUAAAUACUCCUGACUGACCGAUAGUGAACCAGUACCGUGAGGGAAAGGCGAAAAGAACCCCGGCGAGGGGAGUGAAAAAGAACCUGAAACCGUGUACGUACAAGCAGUGGGAGCACGCUUAGGCGUGUGACUGCGUACCUUUUGUAUAAUGGGUCAGCGACUUAUAUUCUGUAGCAAGGUUAACCGAAUAGGGGAGCCGAAGGGAAACCGAGUCUUAACUGGGCGUUAAGUUGCAGGGUAUAGACCCGAAACCCGGUGAUCUAGCCAUGGGCAGGUUGAAGGUUGGGUAACACUAACUGGAGGACCGAACCGACUAAUGUUGAAAAAUUAGCGGAUGACUUGUGGCUGGGGGUGAAAGGCCAAUCAAACCGGGAGAUAGCUGGUUCUCCCCGAAAGCUAUUUAGGUAGCGCCUCGUGAAUUCAUCUCCGGGGGUAGAGCACUGUUUCGGCAAGGGGGUCAUCCCGACUUACCAACCCGAUGCAAACUGCGAAUACCGGAGAAUGUUAUCACGGGAGACACACGGCGGGUGCUAACGUCCGUCGUGAAGAGGGAAACAACCCAGACCGCCAGCUAAGGUCCCAAAGUCAUGGUUAAGUGGGAAACGAUGUGGGAAGGCCCAGACAGCCAGGAUGUUGGCUUAGAAGCAGCCAUCAUUUAAAGAAAGCGUAAUAGCUCACUGGUCGAGUCGGCCUGCGCGGAAGAUGUAACGGGGCUAAACCAUGCACCGAAGCUGCGGCAGCGACACUAUGUGUUGUUGGGUAGGGGAGCGUUCUGUAAGCCUGUGAAGGUGUACUGUGAGGUAUGCUGGAGGUAUCAGAAGUGCGAAUGCUGACAUAAGUAACGAUAAAGCGGGUGAAAAGCCCGCUCGCCGGAAGACCAAGGGUUCCUGUCCAACGUUAAUCGGGGCAGGGUGAGUCGACCCCUAAGGCGAGGCCGAAAGGCGUAGUCGAUGGGAAACAGGUUAAUAUUCCUGUACUUGGUGUUACUGCGAAGGGGGGACGGAGAAGGCUAUGUUGGCCGGGCGACGGUUGUCCCGGUUUAAGCGUGUAGGCUGGUUUUCCAGGCAAAUCCGGAAAAUCAAGGCUGAGGCGUGAUGACGAGGCACUACGGUGCUGAAGCAACAAAUGCCCUGCUUCCAGGAAAAGCCUCUAAGCAUCAGGUAACAUCAAAUCGUACCCCAAACCGACACAGGUGGUCAGGUAGAGAAUACCAAGGCGCUUGAGAGAACUCGGGUGAAGGAACUAGGCAAAAUGGUGCCGUAACUUCGGGAGAAGGCACGCUGAUAUGUAGGUGAAGCGACUUGCUCGUGGAGCUGAAAUCAGUCGAAGAUACCAGCUGGCUGCAACUGUUUAUUAAAAACACAGCACUGUGCAAACACGAAAGUGGACGUAUACGGUGUGACGCCUGCCCGGUGCCGGAAGGUUAAUUGAUGGGGUCAGCGCAAGCGAAGCUCUUGAUCGAAGCCCCGGUAAACGGCGGCCGUAACUAUAACGGUCCUAAGGUAGCGAAAUUCCUUGUCGGGUAAGUUCCGACCUGCACGAAUGGCGUAAUGAUGGCCAGGCUGUCUCCACCCGAGACUCAGUGAAAUUGAACUCGCUGUGAAGAUGCAGUGUACCCGCGGCAAGACGGAAAGACCCCGUGAACCUUUACUAUAGCUUGACACUGAACAUUGAGCCUUGAUGUGUAGGAUAGGUGGGAGGCUUUGAAGUGUGGACGCCAGUCUGCAUGGAGCCGACCUUGAAAUACCACCCUUUAAUGUUUGAUGUUCUAACGUUGACCCGUAAUCCGGGUUGCGGACAGUGUCUGGUGGGUAGUUUGACUGGGGCGGUCUCCUCCUAAAGAGUAACGGAGGAGCACGAAGGUUGGCUAAUCCUGGUCGGACAUCAGGAGGUUAGUGCAAUGGCAUAAGCCAGCUUGACUGCGAGCGUGACGGCGCGAGCAGGUGCGAAAGCAGGUCAUAGUGAUCCGGUGGUUCUGAAUGGAAGGGCCAUCGCUCAACGGAUAAAAGGUACUCCGGGGAUAACAGGCUGAUACCGCCCAAGAGUUCAUAUCGACGGCGGUGUUUGGCACCUCGAUGUCGGCUCAUCACAUCCUGGGGCUGAAGUAGGUCCCAAGGGUAUGGCUGUUCGCCAUUUAAAGUGGUACGCGAGCUGGGUUUAGAACGUCGUGAGACAGUUCGGUCCCUAUCUGCCGUGGGCGCUGGAGAACUGAGGGGGGCUGCUCCUAGUACGAGAGGACCGGAGUGGACGCAUCACUGGUGUUCGGGUUGUCAUGCCAAUGGCACUGCCCGGUAGCUAAAUGCGGAAGAGAUAAGUGCUGAAAGCAUCUAAGCACGAAACUUGCCCCGAGAUGAGUUCUCCCUGACCCUUUAAGGGUCCUGAAGGAACGUUGAAGACGACGACGUUGAUAGGCCGGGUGUGUAAGCGCAGCGAUGCGUUGAGCUAACCGGUACUAAUGAACCGUGAGGCUUAACCUUACAACGCCGAAGCUGUU